AAGGUUUUGGAAAGAAGGAGGAGAGAGAAGUCGGCCGCCCUAAAUUUACCGUUGGAGAUCAACCCAAGGCAAGAAGCUUUGAAUCAAAACUACCGAGACUCGGUGUUGGAAGAAAGGUUUGGGUGGUGGAUUUGCCCAUUCCAACAAGAAAACCCGAGAACUAAACAUGGAUUCACAAAGAAAUCUUAGAUGAAAAUCGGAGUCCAAGUUGGAGAACGGCGAACUGGUCAAGAACCGUAAUAGAAAGGGAACCACCGCCAAGCAUCGCCCACUGUACGGAGGAGCGCGAUGGAAACGACAAGCGACACAUGCCACAAUUUCAUUGGAGAAACGCGUCUGAGCUGCGAGAAGACACGCAUCAGGCGCACGGAUCUAGGUUGGCCCGAAUCUUAACAGACAACCGACACACGACCCAACGUUCAACCCGCGGCUACAUAGGAAACUUGCGCGUAAGCACCCUCAAAAGCGCAUGAGAAGCACGACCCAUCAAGGAAAUUUCAGAAUAUUUGGAAUCCUCUCCAGUAAGAAAUUUGAGCUCGAAAAGGCACGCGUCAACCAUGUAAGUAACCAUAGGAUUCCCAUAAGUAAUACUUAUAGGAACUGCUUGGAAUUAGCAUGCAUGCUGUCAAACUGGUAAUCCUAGCUAGUCGGACUUGGUUAUAUUAGUAUAUAAGUCGUGAAAAAAGAAUUAAAUAAGCAAAUUAAUGGUAGCUAGAAUCGAUCGACUAUGAAUUCACUUUAGG